GACGGGGGGGGCAAGUGUUCUUCGGAAUGACUGGGCGUAAAGAGCUCGUAGGCGGUUCGUCACGUCGGCUGUGAAAUCCCGAGGCUCAACCUCGGGUCUGCAGUCGAUACGGGCGGACUUGAGUACUGCAGGGGAGACUGGAAUUCCUGGUGUAGCGGUGAAAUGCGCAGAUAUCAGGAGGAACACCGGUGGCGAAGGCGGGUCUCUGGGCCGUUACUGACGCUGAGGAGCGAAAGCGUGGGGAGCGAACAGG
rnacentral:rRNA from 1 species